rnacentral:rRNA from 1 species
UACGGGGGGGGCAAGCGUUGUUCGGAAUUACUGGGCGUAAAGGGCUCGUAGGCGGCCCACUAAGUCGGACGUGAAAUCCCCAGGCUCAACCUGGGAACUGCGUCCGAUACUGGAUGGCUUGAAUUCGGGAGAGGGAUGCAGAAUUCCAGGUGUAGCGGUGAAAUGCGUAGAUAUCUGGAGGAAUACCGGUGGCGAAGGCGGCAUCCUGGACCGACAUUGACGCUGAGGAGCGAAAGCUAGGGGAGCAAACGGG